GACAUGGAAACUACCUUCCUUAUGCAGAGGCACGUAGAGAAUAUGUUUUGCCAUGUUUAUCUAGGUGACAUAUAUACCCGCACUGCAUAGGCUUGAAGUCACAAAACUAAAAGGCAGAUGAACGCACCAUAUUUUACAUUUCUCCCUGGCCUUUUAGGUGAAAAAACCUUUCUAGGUGUAAUACAGAGAGGGCCCCCAACUGUCACAUUUCUUCCCAAAAAAGUGACUUUAAAAAUGCAAACAUGAUGAGACAGACAUGAAGAGUUGCAGAUUAUGUUUCUGACAAUGUGUAAUCGUCAUUUGUUUGAGCAUUGUCAUUAGGAAGGCUUCUGAUUAUUCUGGCAACCCUUGUUUUGUAACUCCCUGGGGAGAGAAAGAAGCAUGAAGAGAAUUAAAUUUCUCCAAGGAGGGGGCCAAAGGUCAUUUUGUGCAUUGGACAGCUGGCUCCCAUCAUAUUGAAGUGCUGUGUCCUCAAGUGUUACAAACAGAAUAGCUGAUGGGCCCUGUUGUCAGUUCCUGUACUCUCACUAUCUAUUACAAAUUAAGCUGAAAUUGUGGCUUCUCAAAAGUCAAGGAAGAAAUUCUCCCCCUGCUCUUCUUUAACCUCUUUGAUUCCUUCUAAGCCAGCUAAUACUGCUGCUGUUAAAGGCCACAACGAUGCAGUGUGCUACUUCCUAAAUAGAUGGCUGCUCUGAGCCAUUCCAGUCUGCUAGUAGAAUAAGGACAUUGGCAGUGGGCCCGUGCAUCCCUGUGGGCAACACAUUAGUAAAUAUCUCUGGGCAUUUUAUGUAGAGUUGGUUCAUAAUGACAGUACCCAAGCAGAUAUCCCUAUGGCUCUACUUCACAGCCCUGGUUCUCUCUCCAGAUCUCAUAGUUCAAGAAGAACUGCACAAAUUGGAAGUCAAAGACUUUAUGUUUUAAGGCUACUCUUACUUCUAAUGAGUAUUGUAAUUGGGAGCAGGUAAUUAACUUUUUAGAGCUUCAGUUCACUAAUCUGUAAAAUCAGAGGAUUCUAUUUGAAGAUGCUCUGUUUCCUCUGGCGUAGGAGUUAGUUUGCUUAUUUGGCAGGGCACUGAAAUAUGAAUGAGCAAGAGGUGACGUACUACUAUGGCUCAACAGUUCUCCGACACAGGGCUGAGUCAAAGAGGUGGAAGUUGUGGGGAAGGGCACUCAGGAUCCUGAAUCAGAAAGAGCCCUCCCUUCCAUCAGGUUCUGUGUUGUCUCUAGUGAACUACUUAACCUUCCCGAGCCUCAUAUCCUUUAUCUUCUAGAUGACAUUACUGUGUUAGCUCAGAAAGAUGAGUGAGACAUAAAUGAGAUUUGUAUGGAGUAACAGCACUUGGGAGAGCUUAAUAGACAUUCACUUUUCCUCUCACCAAUUCAACAAUGGCAUUUUAAAAAUUAUUAUUUAUAGCUUUGGAGUUCUUGGUUAUCUUCCAACAUGAAAAAGAACUCAGCAGAGAAAGAUGUGUUCCUUACGUGUCAGGUAUUAAUACUGAUGUCCACAGACUUUCCCCAAAUACUCCUACUAAGCCCUGCCUCCAAAUCUGUAUCUAUUGGUGUGAAGGACUCACAGUCCUCUCUACAUAUUGGGUCUGGGAGGUUUCUUUAUUACUUGUGAAACCUGUGUGAUGAACUUAAGACAUGCCCAGGAAAUUGCAUCAUAUGUACACAGAGAGAUCUCACAAACUCAGGCAACUCACCAAGAUUUUUCUUCAUGUGAAGGAAUUAGACUGCUGCCAAUUAAGGGGGCUGACGAUUGUGGGGGCUGACAACCCAGUAUUCCCAUGCAUCAUGUAAAUGUGCACAAUCAUUGCUUAUGGCAUGCUGAAGUAACAAGGAUGGAUAAGAAAGCCCUAAAUGUUUUGUUGUUAUUGUUGGUUGUUUGUCCCCUCUCCCCUCACCUCUGGAGAAAGAUUUUGGGAAGGAGUAGCUUUUGGUGGUUUCUUGAUUUUCCUACUUAUCUCACUGCCCACCACCCCCAAAAAGAGUUUUUUUUGUUGUUGUUGUUCAUUGGGAAUGGCUCAGUUUUCAUAAAAAAUGAAUCCCAUGUGAUCAGUCUGAAUGACCAUAUCAAAAUUAAGUCACAGUAUGUAUUAAUUCCAAAAACGUUUGUGCAUUUUGCUAUCAUUCGACAGAUACUUGGUACAAUAGCUAGCUGGUGAAUAAGAGCUCAUAUGCUCAUAUCAUCAUCAUCCAAGAGUUUACCCUGGAAUCCCAUGGGUGAUCAGAGAACUAUAAGUGCCAAAUGAGUGGCAAACAUAAAACAGUUCAGAAGGGAGGUCUGGAAAAGCAUUCUGAAAGAGCUGGAUUUUAAUUUGGACCAUACUGAUGCUGAUUAUCAGAUUGGCAGAGAGAACUGGUAUACCAAACUUGACUCAAGCAGAAUUUAUAAAUAGAGGGUGAGUAAUAGGAUGACAUCUUGCUGUUUGAGUGAGAGAAAACUAAGGAAGCUACUAGAAGGAAUGUAUAAACUAUAACAGAUCCUUGAAUGCCCAGACUAACUCUUCUAUUUGCCUUUGCUUCUUUAGUCCUUCCUUCUCUGGAUGUUAAUGUCCCUUUACCAGCUGUGCUACACUUCUGCAAACUUCCUUUGUCCCUUCCCCUCUCCUGCUCUCUUCCCUUCUUUUUCUCUCUUUCCUUUUUUCUACAUACACAAUUGCAUGCCAGGCAGAAGGUAUGUUUCUUUCUUCUGAGUCCCAAUGUUCUCUUCUACAGAGUGAAGGAAUUUAAGACUCUUUAAUGACCAAUGAGUCCAACUUGCCCACCAUCUCUCUCACUCUCGCUGCCUGCUUCAUAUUCUGGGUUGAAAAUGUCUUUCUCUGAAGAAAAACUAGGUAUGGUCUCCCUUCUCAAGGCUGCAGAGAAUCCCACAGGAAAAGCUCCAUUUCCUAGUUUAGGACCGUUCUUAGGGAGCCCACCUUUUUUCUGACUGCAGUAGCUGCUUGCCUUGUGCCUCAGGUCCAUAGACUUCCAUGCCUCCUUGGUACCAGCCACUCUGGGAUGCAGGCAAGAGCCAUGGCUUUGAUCAUGCACACAAUAACCUCAGCACCCAGGCAUCCAGGCUAAUCACUUUUGAUUACGAAUGGAUUAAACAGGACAGCAGCUGCAUGGGCUGCUUUGAUUCAAGUCUGUUCAAAAAUGAGAUGCACAGACCCAGGCCUGGAGGCUGCAGAUGCCAGACCUGCCCAACCCCCCAUC